rnacentral:rRNA from 1 species
UCGGGAAUUUUGGGCAAUGGGCGAAAGCCUGACCCAGCAACGCCGCGUGAAGGAUGAAGUAUUUCGGUAUGUAAACUUCGAAAGAAUGGGAAGAAUCAAUGACGGUACCAUUUAUAAGGUCCGGCUAACUACGUGCCAGCAGCCGCGGUAAUACGUAGGGACCAAGCGUUGUUCGGAUUUACUGGGCGUAAAGCGUGCGCAGGCGGUUUGGUAAGACAGAUGUGAAAUCCCCGGACUUAACCUGGGAACUGCAUUUGUGACUGCCAGACUAGAGUGUAGCAGAGGGGGGUAGAAUUCCACGUGUAGCAGUGAAAUGCGUAGAUAUGUGGAGGAAUACCGAUGGCGAAGGCAGCCCCCUGGGCUAACACUGACGCUCAUGCACGAAAGCGUGGGGAGCAAACAGGAUUAGAUACCCCCGUAGUCCCUGAGCGGGCUGGCAAGGCGCAU